UAUUGUCCCUCAUACCACCACCGCAGUCGUAAUCAGUGGUGGAAGAACGUCCCAGAACUGGCCGUUUAAGUUUAAUAAUAAAAGAGUGGUUCAUGUUAGUGCCUCGUAAAACCAUCGGAAGCCUUGCUCUCCUCCCACCCCCAAAACUCUAGGGUUCUCUGGGGUUUCCAUUUCUGACCAAAUGGAAAGUGUUAACACUCAGAACGCAACCGACAAUGGAAAUCCGUGUACCUUCAUACCCAUAAAACACUUCGCAGCCGAUGAUUUCAUCUUUCCCAUUCCUGAGGGCGUGGAUGCGCCCUGAGUUUAUAGACUGUCAAGGAUGAAGGGAACGUCUGCUCUCCGUCAGAGAGAAAACCAGCUUCCCACGUACUCUCUGACGUGCUGGACAGAACGUAGAAUCGAUGCCUUGACUGGGAGCCAACUUCUUUCUCUUUCUUCUGCUGCAGCAUCUGCACAAUGACGUUUACCUUCCUCAUCUGUAUGCUCACGGAGUUUGGUUCUCUCUUCUUUUUGUCCGAGCCACCCCAAAAUGAAGGCAGUGUCGCAAGCUAGUCUCUGUCAUCUCUUCCAUUAAAUAUGGCUCCGCAAAUGCUUUCUCUUUGGUUCCUGUCUAUCACCAUGAGGGUUUGGUGUCUUUGU